GAAGCACCUUCCGCUUUUCCCCACUGUAUAAAAUGGCAGCUCGCUUUAGAUCGUCAUCGAAGCCUACGACGGGUGUGAGAAGCACGAGCAAGUCCUUUGUCUUCUUUCAUAACUGGACUGCUGCAUAUUGCCAGGUACCUCCUAACCACCAUGAAAGCCUACGUGCUCUUGGCCCUGGUCAUCUGCGGAUACAUCUGCCAAAUUCAAGCCGCUACAUUGAGCAAGCCGGAAAAAACAACGCACGCAUUAGAGAAGCUUGUGGAAGAAGAGAUCAGCAAGGCAUCCGCGAAUGGCCAAGGACACCUCGCCGAAGCUCUCAAGGCCCUGAAGAGCUCGGUUAACGGCGAAGAAACUGAAGAGGCCUACUUCUUUGGUCUACUGGCCCUUAUCCGUUUAAUUAUUAGUGCAAUUCGCGCCAGCGGUUAAAUUGCUCGUGCAGUGGCAGAGAAACAAACGUAGGUACGUUUCUCGAUGCGGUAGCUGCGUCCGUUAUAUCCUUGGUCCGUUACUGCAACUGCCGCUGGCUCCGCGGCCGGUUCUGCGGCUGGUUCUGCAGCCGCUUAUUCAGCCGGCAUCAUAAUGGUCGCUGCCGGCUCAGCUGCGGGAGGCACUGUAAAGGGAAUUGUAGGUAGCGCUGCCGCGUACCGAUUCCGGAAGGAGCAGAUAAGAUAGCUGGGGCUACCCAUUUUUCGUAGCAACACUAUAAAGGAACUGAAGCAUGCAUGGUACAAGAACGUGUGUUGCUCUGUUCCGCAUCAAAUUUGAUUCAAUUUGCUUCACAUAUUGAAUUUGCUUUAAAUUGUGGUCUUGCUCUAUGUUCUCGUGUUUUGUUGUACGCCUGCUUGGUCCUUGGACUGCAGUAUGUUUGAAAUGAAUUCAAUAAAGAAACAAAACUAUAGGUCUCAAUUUUGUUUGCUUU